rnacentral:rRNA from 1 species
GAAUUACUGGGCGUAAAGCGCACGCAGGCGGUCUGUCAAGUCGGAUGUGAAAUCCCCGGGCUCAACCUGGGAACUGCAUUCGAAACUGGCAGGCUUGAGUCUUGUAGAGGGGGGUAGAAUUCCAGGUGUAGCGGUGAAAUGCGUAGAGAUCUGGAGGAAUACCGGUGGCGAAGGCGGCCCCCUGGACAAAGACUGACGCUCAGGUGCGAAAGCGUGGGGAGCAAACAGGAUUAGAUACCCUGGUAGUCCACGCCGUAAACGAUGUCUACUUGGAGGUUGUGCCCUUGAGGCGUGGCUUCCGGAGCUAACGCGUUAAGUAGACCGCCUGGGGAGUACGGCCGCAAGGUUAAAACUCAAAUGAAUUGACGGGGGCCCGCACAAGCGGUGGAGCAUGUGGUUUAAUUCGAUGCAACGCGAAGAACCUUACCUGGUCUUGACA